rnacentral:misc_RNA from 1 species
AAUAGCGCGCACCCAGUGAGA